GGGGGCCGGGCCGGGCCGCUGCGGCCUCCCCGCCGCGCAGCCGCGGAGCCCUGUGGCGGCUGCAGGCCGCGUGGGGCUGCUCCCGUUUCGCUGCUCUUCUGAGGCGUUUACCUUCCGCGGCCGCUGCGCGGGGCGGGCCCGGCCUUCUCGGUGCUGUCAACAUGCAGAACAGUGAAAAUCUGACGUUUUCUUCAGCAACAUCAGUAUUCAGCCCAGCGUGAUCAUUUCUGUGAAUUCGUGUUUCAUCUCUGUAACUUCCCGAGUGUUUCUGAAGUUGGUAACAGAAGAACUAAAAGUUGGGAAGGAAAUUUUGAGUGGUCUUCACAUAUCAGGUGAUCCUGUAUGUUCCUCUCCUUUCAAUGCUGCAGGAGGCUGGAAUGGUGUCUUGAAUGCAGGUAGCUUUUAUUCUUCGCUUUGAAUUUCUCUCAUUUUUGAAGGUAUUAGGACAAAAAGAAGAUACUACCUGAGGCCUUUGUGUGUUUGUGUGUGCAUAACUCCGUGUAACUUACGGUCUAAUUUCUGUGCCUCCAAGCUGUGGGAAUGCCAUAGCACCAAAGAACAAAACCCACCUGGAAGUAUGAGUUUGCCUGCAUUAGGGUAAAUGGAAAACUUUAAAAUGGACACAGUAGAUUAAAAAAAAAAGCGGUGAGAGACCUAACCAGGGAAGCGGAAAAGGCUCGCUCUGUUUAUGUGCAGCCCAAAGAAAGCAUCAUGAAAGAUAAAGCACAACCUAACCUGUUUUUUAUUUGCAGCAGUGUAAGAAUGUGAUCAAGGUUGUUGCCAGCAUUAAGUAGAUCUUGUUCUGUAAUUAGGUGUUUUCUAAAGGAGUAAGCCUCCUUUAAAGUGCCGCAGAAGAUUAGGAGCCAGGUGGAAAUUAUAGAUAUAAAAUUACCCAGGCCCAGUAUCACGCGUGUUACCAGUGCAAGGAAUCAAAAGUUCACUUUUUAAAUAUGGCCCACUGGGUUGAGGAGCAAUAGCUGAACACGUUGCAGGCAAGAAAAUAUUGAUGUGGUUCCCUUUUUUUUCUUGGAAACUGUCCUUCUCUGAAAGAAACAUUCAAAUGCCACGUGCUGAUGCACUAAAGAACUCUGAAUUAUGGUGUAGUUGUAGUGUGAGCAGCGCUGAGAGCAAUGACUACGACGUUAGGAUUGGGGACCUCAAGUCAGAUACCUUUGUCUACCUGCAAACAUUCCCAUAAAUGAAUGUCAGGGACUUACUGCUCGCGUGGUGUCAUCUCCACUGGUUGCUGCGUAUUGUUCUUUUCCUGUUUAGUAAAAGUGACCCCGUAGGUGGAGGUGGAAGGCUAUGGAGCGGUCCAGAAGUUGUACCUCCAGUCAGCAAGGCGGUGUAAGUAAGGCUGCACUGUGGCUUUCAGCAGUAUGGUUUCUCUGCUAGUGAAGAGCAUGCUACGGUAUUUAUUCCUGUAACUUUUUCUGAGCAUUUCUGGCUCUUCCCUGCUCUUGGAUGCACAAGGGAGCACAUAACCACGGGCAGCUUUAUAUUUUUUUGUGUUAACAAAUACAUUCAGACAACUAUAUAAACCAUUUUAGCUUCCUUUUCCAGCGUACGUGUGCAUGUGAGGACACAAAGUGCUCCUUCUCAGAGGGGACUUUCCCUUUCCUUUGCAAGGUGAUGGUUUUGACUGCUAAUAUGGUGCACCAUUGUGUCUAAGCCUUGGACAAAAAAAAACAGUCAAAAGCAUUGUGAAAUAUAUUUUUUAAUAGCUGAGCAUUCAAGCAUGCUCCAAAAUGUGCCCAAACUGAAAAGUCAAGAGGCUACUAACAAGUGAUCUGUAUCUUUCAUAUGGCAACAUCAACCCAUUGUACAUAAUCUAAGGUUGUCUCUGGUUGUUUUUACUUCUGUAGUGUUUUAACAAUAUUUAAUUAGCUCAAUGCUUAUUAACAGUAACUCCAAUUACCAUUUUUAUCCUUAUUUUAAAAUUUAGAUUUUGGUUCAUUUUUUCCUAUGCUUAUAAUUGUGACAGAGCUGUAAAGAAAGUAGGGCACAAAUCCAUAGUCUUCAUUUGUUCUGCUUCUUAAUAAAUUGUAUUUUUAAAUGAAAUUAAGGUUAUUUUUCUUUCAUCUUCCCAGCAUGAUGUAGAUUUCUUUUUUGGACCAGAAUGACAUGAGGUUUAUUCAGACAAGAUAGUUUUCCAUGUCAUAGUCCUUGUGGCUUAUCAGCUUUAUUCCUUUCUCUUUUUUAGAGUGUUUUUUUUUUUCAAAUGAAAAUAGCUUUUUUUCUCUUGAAUAUAAUGAUAUAUAUAUCAUAUAUAUUCAAGGCAUAUAUAGGCAGUCCUUUAGCAAUACUAUUAUUCUUAUUCCAUCAUUUUAAAUAAAUGGACAAGGUUUUAUUUGCGGGUAAGAAAAUGGAAUAAGAAUGACUUUAUAGAACUUGACUUUUUAUCCUUAUUAUUGCUUUUCCAUUGCAUGUUAAGAACACACAAUUUAAAAGCUAUUCAUUUCCAUACUUAUUCCAGAUUAAGUCACAUGAAAAUAUCUGAGUUUCAAUGUGAAAAUGUCCAGUUUCCAAACAGACUCUUCUGGAAGCAUCCGAGGGUCAUCUUCUAAUUCCCACCCAUGAUAACACAAUACCAGGGCGUUAGCACUGGUUUGGAGCUGGGACCUGCCUUCACAAACUGCUUAGGCAUUCCCGAAAGGAACGGAUUCCACCUUCACAUUUGCUCUGAAAACAACCAACAAAAUCCUCUUUUCUAGAGGAUUCUCGAGGUGUGACCAAGCGGGAUUCAACAGUGCUCGGCAUGCACUGGUGCUCUGCGUCCCAGAUGCCAAUUAGAGCCCUUUGUUUUGCUUUUCGUGGGUCUUGGCGCCAGCACAGACCGAUAUCCUCAGUCUGGAGGGUGUGAUACGCUGCCUGUCUCUUCUGCCCUGCUGAACCAAACUAUUCUGCAGGAGAGCACACGGAUUGUCAGGUUAUCCCUGGCAUCCCUCCUAAGAGCUUAUUCUUCACCAGGGAUCCAGUUGUACUUACAGUAUAUUCUCUAUUAUGUUCUUUGAGCCUGAGGGUGUAUCACAAAAAAUAAUCCACACAUUCUUUUUUUUAAUUUAGCAUUUGACAUGCCUGAUAGCAAAAUAACCCUAAAUCUGGGUAAUCCAGUUUGCAGAACAUCUGAAGCAGAAGUCUUUUUGGAGUCUGAACCAAACCCAAAUCUAUUCACAUCAAAUCAGAUUUAUUUAAUUAUUUCAAAACCACUUUCCCAUUCCACCCCCAGAGUCUAUUUACGCUUCUUGCCAGUAUAACUAGCAUUGUUAACUGGCUUCCCGUUUAAACUCACAUGCUUAGAACAAUGGGAUGCACUAUAAAAUGCAUUCAUUUUGUGAUACAUCCAUCUAAAUGUGUCAGCGUAUGGCAGGGGGUCCUUUUUUGCAGGUGCAAGAUUUGGAAAUGUCAGUUGCAUUAGAAAAGCUUUUUCUGACAUACAAACUUCAAAGUUUAAGUAGUAUCUAUCUAAGCAGGAUUAAUAUUAGUUCUUUCCCUCCAUGGAUAUUUUGCUGAAUAAGAAAAAGUUUAGCUUUGUAAAGGGUACAAAAACCUUGCAGGUUUUCGGAGCUCACUUUAGUAAGUUGCAAAACAUAUUCAUACACACCAGAAAAGGGUAAUCUUGUAAAGUGACUAAUUGUGUGUGCUGUGAAGAUUGUGUGGCCUGAAGUAAAAAUGCAAAUGGUACAAUUGUGAGAUUUAAGCAGUUUACUAACAAAGGUAGAGGAGAGAUAAUUUACAAACCUUUUCAAGACCUCUUGGGGACUAAAUGGCUAGGGAUGACAGAGAUGUUAAUUCUUUCUGUGGAUACAUCUCCAGAUACAAUGUCUUAUGCUUUCAAUUAGACCAUAUCUGGUAUUAACUUGACAUAAGUAAACUCACAAAACCAAGAGUAAAGCUUACGCUGCGUAAGGCAGCAUGAGACAGGUGUAUGGUAAGAAGUAGCUUGUUGUCUGCCCGCAUAGUACCGGGGCAGGAGCAGGUGAAAGUUACAAUACUCUAUCUUUAAAAAAUCAAGCCCUUUCCUGAUUUUAUUGUACUCAGUGUUGUGGGUGACAUACUGCACUACCCGUUUCUCUUUUGUUUUAGUGCAGGUCUUAAUAUGUAGUGCUAGAUAAGAGAACAGGGCAGAUAUCCUUAUCAGGGUCUCGGACACUAAUUCCCGAGCCUGCGUUCUGCCGGUGACCUGACGAAGAAAAGCUCCGGCAGAGGAGCAGAGAUUUAGUUUGUUUGUCAGAGGUAGCUUGUUGCCAUCUACAGACUAUCAACCGUCUUCACAGUUGCUAAACUCAUAGUCAGACCUUUGCCUCUGGGCAUUUUAUGACUUUUAUCUGGAGUAGUUUGCCCUUUUUUGCAUCAUACGUAGAGGAAUUACUUUGUAUCACCCCCAAAAUCACAUUCUCAGUUGUGGCGUUGUUGCAUUCUUUUGAGAAACUGAGGGCUCAUAGGUCUAUGUUUUAGCAUUAAAGAAGUACCCCCUAUGAACUAGUCCCAUGAGAUUUCUCUCGAUGCAUGAUCCAAAAACUCAGCAGACUGUUUUUGGCAAGGACUGCUCCUUCUUUCAUCUCUCACUCACCCUGUUCUUUCUUUGUAGGACUAACUUCCUUUUCUUUGUCACUGCACAGGCAUUUUCUGGCUAUUGGUUCUACAUCAUGGUCUUCAAAGACCUCCAGUCCACGAAUAGCUGUACCUUUAUUUUCAUUCUUCUCUCUGUUUACUCAGGAAUUUUCCCAUUUCUCCAUUAAGCUCAGUUGCUAAAUGUUUCUCUAUGCUUUCUCUAUUGUUCUUAACUCCUUCCAUCAUUUUGUGUGGUACCAGGUAACUUGAGAAAGAAUUUACCAUUAGUAAAUAGAUGUAGUGAUCACAAACCUGUCACGCCUUCCAGCCUGUUUCCUCUUACGUCUUGCUGAGUGCUGCUGGAGAAACCCUUACGACUGCGGGAACUUCUGCAAUUACAGACAUUAGGUCUGUAUCCUUAGGCCUUAGACUGGAACCUUAAUUUUGCUUUUUCCCUAGAUGAAAAUAUCAGUAUCUCCACAUUUGCUGUAUUUCUUGCUAAAUUUCCCCUCUUUUUGUCUUAUUCUGCGUAUACAACUCUUACUGACAUUUUCAUUGAGAAAACUAGUGAUCUCUCACAGCUUUUUUCCAUUCCUAUUAUACUGAGCCCGGACAUGUCUUAAAGUGAAUUCCUGUUCUUUUCAAGAAUAUUUGGAGUUUUUUUUUUAGUGUUCACACAACACAACAUCUUCUUCACCCAAACCUAUACAUUUUCAGAAUAUAAGUGUUUUUCAUUUGAUCUUGUGUCAUGCAUCCAGAAGUCCACGUAUAAUGUCUUUCUCUGUAUUUUUGCUUAUCAUUAAAAGUUUUCUCAGACUCUGUUACGGUAUCUGUUCUUACCAUUGUCAGUACCCUCUGCCUAGCUCUUCUUGCCAUAUCAUAUUACCACAGCUAAGCAUUUUUUUUUUCUGAUCAUGUUCAAGCCACCCUCAACUCCCUGGAAUAAAAGGGAAGAAUAAAACCCCCUUAUAUGAACUGAUGUGAAUGGUGGGAAGAUGUGGUUGCACACUAUGUACUGAAUCUCACCUUUGCUUCAGUCCAGGUUUGGGUAUUGCCUCUGUAAUCAAGUUCUUUGCAACUUGAGGUAACUUUUAUGAAUAUUGGCUUUAUGGACUUCGGUGAUAAAUGAGGAGAUACACAGAAUCACACUUUCUUCCCUCCACUCAUCUGAAAUCAUCUGAGAGAGUGAACCGAGGAAAAGUCAAGAAAACUGUUUAUCGAAUUUUUCAACUCUUAACACACUGUCCUUCUGAGCCAUCUCCAGGAACUGGAACAGCAGGAAAUAAAUAGCUUUAAUAACAACAACCGAUAAUAGAAAUACCAGCCAAAAAAAAGAAGUGAUGCUUGUUCAGCGAAAUACCGCUUCAUACUAUGAAAGUCUCUGUAGAAACUCACUGUCUCUGCUUAGAUUUAGAGUGGUCAAGGGACAACCUUAAAGCUGAUACUACAUUUUAUUGGCCUGAUUCACUGUGUUAAUUGUGAAACAUGCUGAGUCAGUAGAAUCAUUAAUAGUAUAUUUUGGAUAAAUUUCUAUUUUGCUUGUUGAUAUUUCAGAUAAGAUAUU